GGAAGAGAGAGUGAAAUAGGAAACCACGUACCGAAGGUUAGGCAGUAGGUUAACUUUCCUGCCAGGGAAACCCUGCAUGUUACAGAAGACGCUUAAGCAUCUUUUAAGGCUGAGCACAAAUAGAUAUGGUGGCUGUUCUACCAGCGAAUCAACAGUGAAUAUCCUCUCCCUCCUGGUAUAAUGUGCAUUAUUCAUUGGAUCUGUGUUUAUGAAGACUGCUGGAUUGACAGCCACAGAAACUAAAGGUUCUUCAUCAGCUCUGAAUGUAAAAUGAGAUUCUGCGCAUGAGUAGUUAGAGUUCAUCAGACAACAGGCACCCACAGCCAGUAACUUUGAAGGAUGCUCACGCCUGGCGCCCCCUGUUGUUGGAGUGUGAUAAAUUUUGGUGAGACAACCCUCUGAAAUACAAACUGGGAAGGGACAGCAGCUACAAGGAUAUAUAACAAGACUCCCUGCUGACCCACACUUGUAGGAGCUCUUGCAUCAGAAGCUCUGCCAGAGGACUGGUGUAUGAAGAUUGCUUAUUAAAAAUUAAAAAAAAAUACUCAAAAUAUUAGGGUGGCCAUGUGUCCUACUUUGCAGAGGACAUUCCUCUAUUUGUGUCAGAUGGUGGUCCUCUAAUGAAGGUGUCGCUCUUCAGUCCACGUCUGUUUUAAAGAGAAGGAACCACAUGAAGGGAGAGCAGGGGCCUUGCAGGUGCACAUCAACAGGUAACAGACUGAGCAAGGACCCAGGUAACCAAUCUUCUCCAAUAUGAAAACAGAGUGAUCUGCUGUCAACUGCUCCAUGAGAACAAUUUGGGGACAGAGGAGGUGGCAGUUGAAGACCACCUCAGUGCCUGCUUGAGCGGAACUCUUUCUUUCCCCCCCUCCACAGGCUCAGUCAUCUUGUGGGAAGGACCCUGAUGUGUGUUUUGAUGUGCUAAUAUUUGUAUUAGGUUUUUGAAAUAUGUAACUAAUAUUACUUGUAAGCCACCUUGAUAGGAUUUAUAUACUGAAAGGUGGGAUAUAAUAUAAUAAAUAAAUGUGCAGUAAUAAAAUGGGACCAGUGCCACCCACCAUUCCACACCCACUACGGUUGUCUGUGCUGCCUCUACACAAGCUGGAUAUUUAUAC